CCUACGGGUGGCAGCAGUGGGGAAUAUUGGACAAUGGGGGCAACCCUGAUCCAGCCAUGCCGCGUGUGUGAAGAAGGCCCUCGGGUUGUAAAGCACUUUCAGUGAGGAAGAACGCCUGGUGGUUAAUACCCAUCAGGAAAGACAUCACUCACAGAAGAAGCACCGGCUAACUCCGUGCCAGCAGCCGCGGUAAUACGGAGGGUGCGAGCGUUAAUCGGAAUUACUGGGCGUAAAGCGCGCGUAGGUGGCUUGAUAAGCCGGUUGUGAAAGCCCCGGGCUCAACCUGGGAACGGCAUCCGGAACUGUCAAGCUAGAGUGCAGGAGAGGAAGGUAGAAUUCCCGGUGUAGCGGUGAAAUGCGUAGAGAUCGGGAGGAAUACCAGUGGCGAAGGCGGCCUUCCGGACUGACACUGACACUGAGGUGCGAAAGCGUGGGUAGCAAACAGGAUUAGAUACCCUGGUAGUC
rnacentral:rRNA from 1 species